AAUCAACGCUGGCGGCGUGCCUAACACAUGCAAGUCGCACGAGAAAGGGAUUUCGGUCCUGAGUAAAGUGGCGCACGGGUGAGUAACACGUGACUAAUCUAUCCUCGAGUGGGGAAUAACCUAGGGAACCUGGGCUAAUACCGCAUAACACUUACGAGUCAAAGCAGCAAUGCGCUUGGGGAGGAGGUCGCGGCAGAUUAGUUAGUUGGCGGGGUAAGUGGCCCACCAAGACGAUGAUCUGUAUCCGGCCUGAGAGGGCGGCACGGACACACUGGAACUGAAACACGGUCCAGACUCCUACGGGAGGCAAC
rnacentral:rRNA from 1 species